GACGAACGCUGGCGGCGUGCUUAACACAUGCAAGUCGAACGGAAAGGCCCUGCUUGCAGGGUACUCGAGUGGCGAACGGGUGAGUAACACGUGGGUGAUCUGCCCUGCACUUCGGGAUAAGCCUGGUAAACUGGGUCUAAUACCGGAUAGGAGCCAUUUUUAGUGUGAUGGUUGGAAAGUUUUUUCGGUGUAGGAUGAGCUCGCGGCCUAUCAGCUUGUUGGUGGGGUAAUGGCCUACCAAGGCGGCGACGGGUAGCCGGCCUGAGAGGGUGGACGGCCACAUUGGGACUGAGAUACGGCCCAGACUCCUACGGGAGGCAGCAGUGGGGAAUAUUGCACAAUGGGCGCAAGCCUGAUGCAGCGACGCCGCGUGGGGGAUGACGGCCUUCGGGUUGUAAACUCAUUUCGCUAGGGACGAAGCUUUUUGUGACGGUACCUAGAUAAGAAGCACCGGCUAACUACGUG
rnacentral:rRNA from 1 species